rnacentral:rRNA from 1 species
AUUGAACGCUGGCGGCAUGCCUUACACAUGCAAGUCGAACGGUAACGCGGGGCAACCUGGCGACGAGUGGCGAACGGGUGAGUAAUGCAUCGGAACGUGCCCAGUAGUGGGGGAUAGCCCGGCGAAAGCCGGAUUAAUACCGCAUACGACCUACGGGUGAAAGCGGGGGACCGUAAGGCCUCGCGCUAUUGGAGCGGCCGAUGUCAGAUUAGGUAGUUGGUGGGGUAAAGGCCUACCAAGCCUACGAUCUGUAGCUGGUCUGAGAGGACGACCAGCCACACUGGGACUGAGACACGGCCCAGACUCCUACGGGAGGCAGCAGUGGGGAAUUUUGGACAAUGGGCGCAAGCCUGAUCCAGCCAUGCCGCGUGCGGGAAGAAGGCCUUCGGGUUGUAAACCGCUUUUGUCAGGGAAGAAACGCUCCGGGUUAAUACCCUGGGGUAAUGACGGUACCUGAAGAAUAAGCACCGGCUAACUACGUGCCAGCAGCCGCCGUAACAC